rnacentral:rRNA from 1 species
UGGGGAAUCUUGGACAAUGGGCGCAAGCCUGAUCCAGCCAUGCCGCGUGAGUGAAGAAGGCCUUCGGGUUGUAAAGCUCUUUUUUACCAGGGACGAUAAUGACGGUACCUGGAGAAUAAGCCCCGGCAAACUUCGUGCCAGCAGCCGCGGUAAUACGAAGGGGGCUAGCGUUGUUCGGAAUUACUGGGCGUAAAGCGCGCGUAGGCGGUCGUAUAAGUCGGAUGUGAAAGCCCUUGGCUCAACCAAGGAACUGCGUCCGAUACUGUACGGCUUGAGGCUGGUAGGGGGUAGCGGAAUUCCCGGUGUAGCGGUGGAAUGCGUAGAUAUCAAGAGGAACACCUGAGGUGAAGACGGGUUGCUGGGCUGACACUGACGCUGAGGCGCGAAAGCCAGGGGAGCAAACGGGAUUAGAUACCCAAGUAGUCCCUGAGCGGGCUGGCAAGGCGCAU